rnacentral:lncRNA from 1 species
CCUUUUCUCUUCCUCGUAAUUCGUGCACCUGGGGAAAAUGAAAACCCCCUUCUUAAACCCCAACACACACACACACACAGAAAAAAGAAAAAAAGAAAAAAAGAAAAAAAGGAGAAGUGUUUCACUGUUAAAACUGUCUCUGCCUUUAAUGGAACAAGACAAAUAAUAAAAGAGAAAGAACAAAUCUUUUUCAAGAAGAGAGAGAGAGUGUGUGAGUGUGUGUUUUAAGAUCUGUUUGAAUGCAUUUUCUCACUGUGUUUCUCCUUUUUUUGUGAAAACACUUUGACCAGUUAGGGUUUGUUUGGACCAAAACUAAGUUCUUUGGCCAUGGCAUUGCUACUGGAUUUUUCAGGAAGGUGGUUUUUUCCCCAAGAAAGGUAAAACACUACAGACCUUUUUUUUUAUUUUUAUUAUUUUUUUCUUGCAAACUUAGCUCCAAUCUGUUUUCCAUUUGUUUAUUAAGCUUCUAAAUAUGAAGAGAACUCAUUAAGCUCAUUUCUUGAUUUUGUAUUCACUUUUUUUUUUUUUUUUUGUGUGUGUGUGUGUGUGUGUGUUUUCAACUUGGUCCGUUCAUUAUGUCUAAAAAUUUAACUUUUUUUUUUCCUGAAUGGGAAAUUUAAGGAGCUUCUGUUCUGGCUUUAGCAUUUGUUUUCUUCCGUGUUAUGGUAAUUUUUCCAAUUAGAAUUCAUUCUAUUAUCCUGUAUCUUCUGUAUAUAUAGUUGAAGCAGAAAGAUUGAAUCUUGAUAUGCACAUUUUGUUCAGAGCAGGCACUUAUGUAGUGAAUGGAAAUCCUAAUAGAUAUAUUAGUUGGAUGAUUUUGAGCCUUUGAGGUUUACUUUUGAGUAAGAUAUCUCCUCCACCUUCCCCCCUCCCUUCCCAGGGGAGCCAAGAGAUCAGCUAUUAAAAUGAGGAGCUUUAUAGCAGUGAGGUUAUAGGUUUUGCGAUUUAGUUAUUUGAGCAUUCACCCUUUAACACAAUUAAAGAAGGUGCAUAUGGUUUUUCCACCUGGCGCUGUAGGCUAUGUUGUUCGGACUCUUCGAAAAUGUUGCCGGGUUCGUGUCAGAUCCUCCAAAAGUAGUGCAUUUUUUGUGGAGGAUCCAACACGGGUGCAGCAAUAUUUUGGAGAGUCCGCGCAAUAUAGGUUGUAGGGAAUUCAAAGAUCUUGGGGUGUCUUAGGUGAAAAUCAUCUAGCAGUGAAUAUUUCUCACAAUUCCACUAUAGCGGAUAUAAGAGUGUUCACAAGAUUGACUUUACCUGAUAAAAAUGAGUUUUCAAAGGAUCAAUAAUUAAGGUAGAUCCUCAUUUUGAGGUCAAGAAUUUCUGUUGGUGAAGGUCAAAGUUCCCCUGUUGCUACCUGUGCUGGUGGGAGAAUUUGAGGUGCUUGUAAGCUGGCCCAGACAUCGGAUACCAGUGUAAUAAAAAAUCUCCCCUGAUGCAUAUAAUCUUUAGUCGCAAAGGACUCCAUUGUCAUUUUAAUCUCCAUAGUUUAAUGUGGCUCUUGGUGCUAAAAUAUUCUGUACCUGCAGGUCUAAUUCUGAGAUAAUGGUGGCAAAUAUAUGCAAAAAGUUUAGUACUUUACAGUUUAUUCUGUAAAAUUGACAUAUUUUCAGAGAUCAUACAUUUACUUAAUGUGGGAAUAAACAAAAGUCAUUCAGAUAAAGAAAAGAGUCACAUAAGUUGAGAUGAUAAGGAACAGGCAGAUAAAAUCCAGAGCUUAAAUUCCUAUGCUUGCCUAUUUAGGUGUAUAUCAUAUAAUUCACGUUGCUCAUGCAUAUCAAUCCUGGUGGAGUGGUACGUUUUUUGUCCCUAGAAUUUCAUGCUUUCUUUUCUAGGUAUUGACAACUAGUGAGAGACCUUUCAGCUGGAUGCCUAAGGCUACUCCAUUCUCAUUUCUCUUCCCCCUUUCCUCCCUUAUGAUAUGAAACCAUUCAGCCUAAGCUCUAGACUUGUCAUGUAGGAAAAAUUGCUACUUGAAAUCUGUUUCAAGGAUAUGCAGUGAGGAUUUUUUGAGGUAAUUAUUGUGAAGGAAGGGGUUGGAUUCUAUAAGAAGGGAUAAAGAGCCGCUGCUGUUCAGGAGCUAAGACGAGAGGAGGAUUUAGAAUUCAUAUAUCAGUAGUUGCAGUGCUGGACAGUUGAGUUAUCUUUCAUUUUGUUUUCAAUCUUCCGGAAGUUGCAGGGAAUGAACAGAUAAGAGUAAUGAGGAAAAAGAAGAGGCAAAAACAUGACUAACGAGCCCCUUUGCUCUUAGGAGGCGGAUUUGAAGAACUAGACACAUCUCUUUAAGAUGGUUGGGUGGCAUUUUCAAAGCUUAACUAUAAGAUACAGGAGGGGUUCUAGUGGUCCAUCUUGAAGAGGAAAACUAAUUUAUUGAAAAUGGUGCUAAAUUCUUAGAGGUCUUAAAUGGAACCUAAAAGCCGAAGGCAAAAUGCAACGUUAUAUUACUCCAUUUUUUUCUCUUGGCUUUAAAUAUCUUACUGAAAAUACUAUUAGGCUAACACGCCCUCCCCUCAGGCUUUGGUCCAGUAGCAAGAGCACAACGCAUGGUAUGUGGGUUAGACGCACGCCAUGAGUUCAAACCUAGCUGCGGACAAGAGCAGACAAAAGCAUGGUAUUUAUUUAAGUGGAUAAGGGUUUUUUUUUGGGGGGGGGGGGGGAUCUAAGCUCAGAAUUGAAGCAAGGUGCAUAAGUUUGUACUCGCUGGAUGCAAGUCCAUAUAUUUUUCUUCUUGAAGAUGAAAUGGUCCCUUUUCAACUGCUCAAUCCCAAUGGUGUUUCGAUCCGAUGCUGUUCCAACUGUUGAUUUCUGACUUUUUCUUGCUAUAUCUUCUGCAGGUCAGAUAGAGAAGCAGGAGUUGAGCUUGCUUCAGAGGUUUUGAGCUGGUGGUCAACUGUUAAACCGGGUUGAACUUCCUUGUGAUUUUCUAGAACAUGUGAACUAAUUACAUAAUUAGUUAAUUAGGGAAUGAAGCCAUCGGUCCGCGAAGCAUAUCAAGCUUUGUAUCAUAUUGACAAUACCAGUAGUGAUUCAUAGUGCAUGAAGUAUUUUUUGGCAUAUCAAAGCUACUAAGGUUUAUAUUAUCUAAGUUUUGAUCUGUUCCUAUUCAAACUUUAAUCAGGAUCUAAUGCUCAAUUAGCGUGGAGGUCUUUGAUCACUUGAUAUUUAACGCGUAUUGUAUAUCCAAUUUCCUGCUUGUUACACCCUCCUUUUUACCUUUCCCGAGCCUUUUUAUCCGUUUAUCUUUGUAUCUUUCCUGAGCCGAGGGUCUACCAGAAACAACCUCUCUACUUUCUCAAGGUAGGGGUAAGGUCUGCGUACGUACUAUCCUCCCCAAACCCAUAUGCGGGAUUAGUCUUCCUUCUUGUUACUCUGAGAUGGAUAUAUUAUGCUUGCAAUAUUGAAAAUGAAAAUCAUCAUCAAUUAAGUAUCAGACUUCAAGAUCCUACUGUGGAGGAGCUGUGAAUAUUGCAGGCAGAUUGUGAAUGAUUUUGAAUAUUGUCUGAGGAGCAUAGGACUGAUUUUAGAUUUUAGGAUUCUUUUUCCCUUUUUAUGUGAAGAUGUUGAAAUACUUACUAAAUUUGUGGGUAUUUUAUGGAUUUGUCAUACAUAUUUAUGCCUGAGAUGAGAUUGAAUUUAACAUGGUUGUGAG